GAAUGGAUCGAGGAAGGUAAGUAUCAUGGUUGUGCUGCAACGGUGUGGAGCCUGGGCGUCCUUUUGUUUGUUUUAGUGUGUGGAGAGCUGCCAUUCUGGAAUGAGAGGGAGAUCGCUGCUGGACACUUGAUCUUCAAAGCUGGUGUGUCUAAGGCCUGCCGUCAUCUGAUAAGACGCUGCCUGGCCAAGGAUCCGAAUGAGCGACCCAGCCUCGAGAUGAUCCUGGAGCACAACUGGUUUUCAGAGAUCCUUGGGAACUAAGUCCAGGCACCUGUAUGGGUUUGUAGCAGACGGAUCAUGGCACAGGUCUGCUACAAGAACACAUCCAGAGGUUUUUAGCUGAGGUUCAGAUCACCUCCAUUCCUCAGCACCGUGUACAUACCACGCCAGAUCAGAAAGAAAGCCCCAUCAAUGAACAAGUCUAACCUACUGGAAGAAGCAACCAGAUCAGAUUUGGGCCUAAGCACCUUGAUACCUGGCAGAAGAUGAAAUGACUUUGAGUCACCACAACAAUCUACGAUCAACGACCACGUCUGUCGUCCAGAAAGCACUUUGACCUUCUCUGUGGUGGUGUAUGAGACAAGAGAUAAUUGAAUAAAAUAUUGAAU